rnacentral:tRNA from 1 species
GGGGAUGUGGUGGAAUUGGUAGACACGCUAGUCUUAGGAACUAGUGCCGCAAGGCGUGAAGGUUCAAGUCCUUUCAUCCCCACCA